rnacentral:rRNA from 1 species
UCUGGCGGCAGUAGCGCGGUGGUCCCACCUGACCCAUGCCGAACUCAGAAGUGAAACGCCGUAGCGCCGAUGGUAGUGUGGGGACUCCCCAUGCGAGAGUAGGGAACUGCCAGAC